rnacentral:rRNA from 1 species
GAUGAACGCUAGCGGCAGGCCUAAUACAUGCAAGCCGAACGGCAAGUUGAGUAGCAAUACUUGACCUAGAGUGGCGUAAGGGUGCGUAACACGUAUGCAAUCUACCCGCAACAGGAGGAUAGCUCUCCGAAAGGGGAAUUAAGCCUCCAUGGGAUCAUGGGGUGGCAUCACUCCAUGAUUAAACUACCAGGGGUUGUGGAUGAGCAUGCGCAUGAUUAGUUAGUUGGCGGGGUAACGGCCCACCAAGACGAUGAUCAUUAGGGGAACUGAGAGGUUGAUCCCCACACUGGCACU